AUUGAACGCUGGCGGCAGGCCUAACACAUGCAAGUCGAACGGCAGCGGGGAGUAGCUUGCUACUCCGCCGGCGAGUGGCGGACGGGUGAGUAAUGCAUGGGGAGCUGCCCAGUCGAGGGGGAUAACAGCUGGAAACGGCUGCUAAUACCGCAUACGCCCUUCGGGGGAAAGGUGGGGAUUUUCGAACCUAUCGCGAUUGGAUGCACCCAUGUGGGAUUAGCUAGUUGGUGGGGUAACGGCUCACCAAGGCGACGAUCUCUAGCUGGUCUAAGAGGAUGACCAGCCACACUGGAACUGAGACACGGUCCAGACUCCUACGGGAGGCAGCAGUGGGGAAUAUUGCACAAUGGGGGAAACCCUGAUGCAGCCAUGCCGCGUGUGUGAAGAAGGCCUUCGGGUUGUAAAGCACUUUCAGCGGGGAGGAAGGGAAUAUGGCUAAUAUCCAUGUUCAUUGACGUUACCCGCAGAAGAAGCACCGGCUAACUCCGUGCCAGCCGCCGCGGUAAAAC
rnacentral:rRNA from 1 species